CGAAUUCGCCCUUCCUACGGGAGGCAGCAGUGGGGAAUAUUGGACAAUGGGGGAAACCCUGAUCCAGCGACGCCGCGUGUGUGAAGAAGGCCUGCGGGUUGUAAAGCACUUUUAGUGGGGAUGAAAAGCUCAGGGCUAAUACCCCUGGGUCUUGACCUAACCCACAGAAAAAGCACCGGCUAACUCUGUGCCAGCAGCCGCGGUAAUACAGAGGGUGCAAGCGUUAAUCGGAAUUACUGGGCGUAAAGCGUGCGUAGACGGUCAUGUAAGUCGGGUGUGAAAGCCCCGGGCUCAACCUGGGAAUUGCAUUCGAGACUGCAUGGCUAGAGUGCGGAAGAGGGAAGCGGAAUUUCCGGUGUAGCGGUGAAAUGCGUAGAUAUCGGAAGGAACACCAGUGGCGAAAGCGGCUUCCUGGUCCAGCACCGACGUUCAGGCACGAAAGCGUGGGGAGCAAACAGGAUUAGAUACCCUGGUAGUCCACGCCAUAAACGAUGAGAACUAGACGUUGAAGGGGUAAGCCCUGCAGUGUCGUAGCUAACGCGCUAAGUUCUCCGCCUGGGGAGUACGGCCGCAA
rnacentral:rRNA from 1 species